GGCACACACACACAGGAGUGGACAAGGCAGGUGUAUGUUAGAAAAUAGUGGUCUCGUACUUGGUGUUGACUCCUCUCUUCGCCUCCUGACCAGGCUCCACAAUCCAUGGCACAUUGGCAUGGCCCUUCUGGUCCAUGGACGGCUGCUCCAUCUAGUGCAGAAAAAGAGAAGACAGCAAAGGCUGCAGACCCGAGGACUACAAUGCCAGAAAAUUAGCAUCGAUAUUGCAUCCUCUCAGUGGAAUUAACUGAAGUCUGAGCAGUCACGCCGAGGUUUCAUGCAUUCUGCUCGACAGGUAACAACAUUUAGUAUAAUUUUUUUUAAACUAGCAACACAUUUCCUGUUUUUACUAUGUCUGCUUCACUCCCAACUAGGGUUGUCACGGUAACCGGUGUAGCGGUAAACCCCGGUAAAAAGGUUGACAAUAAUAAUAACCGUCUUGCUUUAAAAAUAAAAAUAUAUUAUCUCGGUGGAAUACUGUGGCUGUGGUGUAGGCGCAGUGACCCUUCCCAGCCACCGUAUCAUCUGCUGAAGUUGCCGGUGGCACAUGCGCACUUUGUUGUUUACAACCAAAACUUUCUUGAAGCUAAAGCUGAAAUAAUGGCCAAAGGAGGAGACGGCAGCGCUCAGGACAUUUAUUAUCCCUCAAAGAAGACAAAGUGGGAAGUACGGGUAUUUUUUGGAUAUUUGAAGAAUGCUGAGGGGCAGCUGAUAGAAGACGGCUAUCCUGUUUGCAGCACGUGCAGAAGAAGUGUCUGUGAAAGGCAGCAACGCUUCAAAUCUCAUGACACAUCUGCGUGACCAUCACCCACAACUCUACAGUCAACGCAAGGCAAGCUAACGUUAGCGUUUUAGCUAAAAUGCGUGAUCCGAGGAUUUGGGUUGAGGGAGAAAGCAACGAGUCGCUAUAUAAAGCAGCUGCAGUGCCGCUACCUGCAUAUAAACCGUGUCGUGGACACCCCCAUGUUGAGAUGACGCUAUGCAUUACGGGGCUCCCAGGGGCAGAUAAGAGUUGGUCUCUCUCCGAGAAUAAUUAUGAAUUUAACAAUGAUUACUGCCUGAUGACAUUUUCCCACAUCUGCAAAGCUCACUGGAAGGAUACAAACUGAGGACAAUAUUUUCCUGAUAUAGGGUUUAUUACUCAAGUAAGAGUAAAAAAAAGUAUCUGAUUAGAAGGCUACUUGAGUACUGAGUAUCAUCUGAUCUAAUAUUUUUUAAAUGAUGUCAUCAAACAGACAAAAAAAAGUUAUGGGCAAAUAUUGGUAUUUUAAAGACUAAAGGGGAAAAAUGUAAACAAAUUAUUAAGAUAAUUAUAUGUGUUUUCUUUUAUCAUGCUUUAAGCUUUUAUUACAUUUAAAAAUUUUACCAUUUUUGCUUAAACAGUUGCUGUAUUGUUUUGAAAUUUCCUCAUGAGACUUUAAGAAUGCUGAGUCUUGAUCCUGACCUAAUGUGACCCAAAGGACAGCUGCUGACUCGUGCAACUGUUUGUUGCACAUCGUAUGAUUAAACACUGAUUAGCACUGAACGGUCUUUGUGUGAAACUUGUAACAAUUAAAAACUGAGAGCUGUGUUUUCCUCCUCCCUUCAGAUCAGCUCAUCAGUCAUGUAUCUAGGGACCCUCCCAGCUUGUAAUAAAAGUACACGCUCAGAUCUCAAAGGUAGAAUGGAUUGGAGGAACUGUCAGCUCAGUGGAGACUGAGUUGGUGAGGCCUUAUUCCAUUCUCCUCGAGCAUAAAACAGAAUUCUGACUUCUGUGUCUCUUUUCUUCCUUGUGUACGGUGUCUAGGGGGUUUAAACCUGACAUUAAUAAACAACAUCAUUACAAAAUAACAAAUUUUAGGUUAAAUUUAGACCAAACUGAGGACAAUAUUUUCCUGAUAUACAGGGUUUAUUUAGUUGUCUGAAAAUGUAACCCGUUUAAAAAAAUACCGCGAUAAUACCGAAAACCGUGAUAAUUUUGGUCAUAAUAACCAUGAGGUUAAAUUUUUGCACCCUGACAACCCUACUCCCAACAAUGUUUGUCUACUAUUUGUGUUGCCUUAAGCUUGGUUUAUGCUUGACGCGUCCGCGAGGUCUGCACGCUCCGCGCGGCAAAAUUGCGUCAUUUUAACAACCACACCCCUCCACAGCGCCUCUGCACGGCCCAAACUUUCCACACCGCGCACCUAGGAAAUUUUCUAACCACGCGGACGAUCGGACGUGGCAAAACAUGGCGUACUGGCAAGAACUAGUAUGGCAGAGGUUCGUAAAUACAGACAUUUGUAUGAUUCAGCUCUCAAAGAUCACCGUGAUCAACAUGUUGUUAAUAAUUCUUGGAGAGAAAUAGCUCGCACUGUCGGAAAAGACGAGAACGCUGUUAAAAAAUGCUGGAAUGCCAUGUUACUUCUACUAUGGUGUAGUGUUGGAUGCAUGCCGUAGAGCUCCAUGCUGCCCCGUUCAGUUUGGGAGAAUAUUGGCUCACCGCAGAGACAAGCCGCAUGAACCAUAAACGCUGCAAGUUGUGAAGCGCGUUCCAUCCGCGAGCCGCAUCACCAAGUGGAAAGUAAAUGUGUCGAGCAUAAACCAAGCUUUAGGCUAACCAGGAAAAAUACCUACCAUAGCAGAGUGGAACGCACUUCAUUUGAGCAUUUGAUUUUCUAACGUGCAUGCAAACUAGGAAAAAGGCUCCCAGUUUAUAGAUGUAGAUCCUCUUAGAUGUGCAUGUAAACGCACUGACUGAGUCCAAUGCUUGCGAGGUGGUUGUAGUUUGGUCAAUAUUGGGCUAGUAUUUUAUAAUUAUUAUUUUAUAAUUAAACAGGUUGGCAUUAAAAGCAACACUACAAAAUAUAACCGCGAAGACAAACUGAUGAACAGUGAGAAACGGCCACAGCAAACGUGAGAAUGAGAAUUGGGCUGAAAACCAUCAAACCACUUACACAUGUGGUUUUCUGCACGUGUUAAAAUAUGUGGAAAUGAAGAACAGAAGAAGGAAAAGUGUGGAAGACCUGUAACUGAGCUUUGUAAGGAAGAUGGAAGAGUCGAGGGGGUGGAAGAGGAGGGUAGAGAGGAGGCCGGUGAGGGGUGUAAAUGUGACCCAAUGACCAGCGGCUGGUGGGAGAUUUGAUGACCUACAGGGGCAGAGGUCAUACUUGUCAAAGUGAACUAACUCAACGUCACUGACAUCAACAAAGCAGCACUGCAAAACCACAGCAAUGACACAGCAGCCGCAUGGCAACAAGGAAAGGCAACAGCACUCCAAAAUCAAAGCAAAAACCAUGGCAACAACACGAUCGCCCUGGCAACAGCAUGGUACAGCAGUGUCACGCCACAUUAAAUUAGCAACCACUGCAUAGCAACAACACCUCAAUAUGAGCUUAGCACAACAAAACAGAGUUUAGGAAACUGGUCCUUUCAAGACUAUUUUAAGAUUUCCCACUAGCCCAACUACUCAGAAACUGGUGAUUAGCAAAAAUAAUAAAUGCCAUUUUUGAGUGCACAUUUUAUUUAUACCGAAACACGCCGAUGCUACAUUAAAGUUAUGAUUAAAAAAAAAAAAGUUACCAUGACGGAUCAAAGCUGCUUUGCAACAAGCUAUUUCUGAUCCACGGGCAAGCUUUUUCCACCUGCUCUUCAAAAUAGAAGUCAGUGUUUUUCAGGCUCAUGGAUGGCGAUGCUUCUUUAAAAUUGUCCUGCUCAGAGACAACAAAGUUAUAUUAGGCCUGUUUAGCUCGAUAGGGUGGGUUAAAUUUAAGUGUCGAAAAUGUAAACAACCAAAAUUCUAAAAAGCUCAAAGGGACAGAAACAAAAACAACUACAGUUUACUGUAAAGCAUAAGGAGGUGCUGCAGAAUGGUGAUUAUGGCUGGUUGGCAGCAGGAAUAUUAAAUGAAUCCUGCAGUGUAUAUGCCCCGCUGCACACCACAAGCCAUCAACUCCUCCAUACACACAUAUGGGAACGUAGGGGGAAAAGAAAAAGCAAUUAAUGGUUAAUGUAAUGGUUGCAGACUCAGCAGAUUGUGUACAUAUGCCGUCGUCCAUCAUCUGUUAGAAUACAACGACUUAAAUACCGUCUCCCCUUCAUGUUGUCUCCCCGGGAUGCUCUUUCAUCACCGUCUUGCAUCUAACUUUAAAGAGUGAGGCCAUUCUUCUGAAGCCGCCACCACGGUCUCUUUCAUGACUCAUGCUAUAUAUAUAUGAUUCAUAUUAAUAGAUAUGAAACUUGUUUAGAGUGCUGUUAUAGCAACCCCAGUAAAAUGAUCCUGGGUCUGCUGAGCCAGAUGAGGCGUCGCCGACGGAGAAGGAGGGAACCACAGGCAGGAUGAGCCACUGUGACUAUUUUAAAGCUUUGUCAGGGGUUAAUGGAGUGUUGACAAAUUUGCUAAUAAAAGUUGACACCGUGACUACAGGAGGCAUGACGCACAUAAAAAUGCUAAUACAGCAAAGCGGAGGCUAGUUAUAAUAGCAGACCACUUUAUACGAAGCAGCAAAAGUUUCUUAUUUCUAAUGCGGGGCCAAAACUAAGAUUUCCCUUCUGUUUCUACUGGAUUACUGCAACCCCACAAAAUCUCGUUUUAGGAACAGGGUGCCCUGCACACGACAGCAGCAAUAAUGAUGAGAAGGCAUGCCCUUCUCCACACACAGACCCAAAGUGAGCAAGCAGGCCUUGCUGGAGCGCUAUGCAAACAGACUUCAUCAAUCAACCAGAUGUGUAAGAGACUACAGGGAGAACAAGACCAAAUAGACGCUUAACAGAUCCACAUAGACCCUUGCCACUUUGUCCACUGGGCCAAGACUCACACAGAAAGACACAAGCAGCCAGAAUAAUGUUAGUAAACCAAGCUUCCAGUGGGAUAUGGUGUAAGUGAGCAGGAACCGUAGACUGGGAUGGAUCAUUAUGGUUGUUUUUAUGGACCGAGUCAAGUGAAAAUGGGGGGAAUGCUGGUUAGUGUUGAUCAGAAGCUAAUAUAAAAAUGCUAAACUUGAGUUCACGGGUUAAAAAAGCAACAUCAGAAAUGAAAAUUCAUCCCAAAAGACAUUAUUUAUCAUUUGAUUACAUAAAAAUUCAGAUAACUGUUUGCUAAAAGAUUUUCUUUUCUUUUCUUUUUAUUUGAACCUAUCUGAACAAAACCUUUUGGAAAAUGUAGUGAUUUCUUUAUUCAGGAUGGAUUUUCUCUCAGUCAGCAUUGCUUACUGAAUUGAUGCUUACUGAUUUGCGGAUGUUGAUGCGGGGUUUGGGGAUGGGUUUGCCAGGCUUGCUGUCAAAGCUUUCUGGAAGCGUUGAUGAUCCGUGGCCGCUCUUCCUGGCCUGCAGGGCCAGCUGGUAGGCCACCUCGAAGGCCUGGCCAAGUGUCAGGAUGAUCUCAUAGGCCAGAUUCUAACAAGACAUGAAAAGGAAACAGCUGUGAGGAUACAGCGUAAAACUCUGACGCGCCUUUAAGUGUCAACACUGACCACGUCAAAAGCAGUGAAGACGUGGCAGUAGUGGUGACUGGAUUUGAGGUCUUUGGUGAUGUAGGCAAAUGUAGACAGAUCCUCUGGAUCCUGAGCAGCACAUGAGAUGUUACGGAUCUCGUGCUCUGCUAUGAUGUUCUGUAGAGAGACAAAGGGAAAGAUAAAAAGAUGCAGAAACUGUGCUGAUGCUGAGCUUCAGCAUGGAAAAACAAACCAGGACAGAACUCUCAGUUCAAAGCUUUCUAGAGAAGUUGUCGGAGUGGCCAAUCCAUAACUUUCCUCUUCAGCUGAAAGAACCUGACGACAAGCUGGAUAAAUCUGCUGCCACGGUUCCUUUCAGAAUAAAAGCUGAACCAUCACGACCCCAUUUUGGGUCUUGGUAGAUGCCAAUAAAACUGUCGUGACCCGGAAGUAUCUCAAGACUGGUCUGGUCGGCAACCGCUGCUUUUCUACCGGCAUCGGUUCCAGAGGAGGUCAAGCUGGACCUCGACAUUCCUGAUCUAACGGGGACUUCCGCCAAGGGUACGUAGGCUGGCAGAAUGGCGUCUCAAUGUGUGUUAUAAAUCUCCAAACCAAAAGCUUAGCGCGAAACGUCAUCUUCACUCCCAUCAGAACUAAUCGUUUCUCCAGAUUUGCUGGUUCUGAACAUUUCACACAUACACCAUCCUCAGUCUUACUUCACCUUAGUUACACCAUACACCUAGUGUUUAAAGUUAGUCUUGUUUUAAUUUGUUUAGUAAUAAAUCUUUAAAACUUGACUCUUUGUCUCUGAGUUAACAUGAAGUGGUUACAUAAUCCCUGCAAUAAAAAGUUCCAAUCUUCUGGUUUAAGUUAUCCAAAGAUCCAUAAGAUUGUUUUCAUAUUUCCUAUGGAAUUUCACAUCUUAUGGUUCAUUAAAUAAUAUGUAAAUUUAAUCGUUACACAGGAACUGUGCUGAUGCUGAGCUUCAGCAUGGAAAAACAAACCAGGUUUAUUAUUCAUCCCUAAACCACAUUAUUAUUGCAUGGCAUUGGUUGAGUUGGAGUACAUCCUCUGGUUAUGUCACUACAGAACUCUCAGACUUUGUUUAGUGGUGAUUAAAGCCCAUUUUGCUGCAGUGAAUUAAAGAACAUCAAAACCCAGAAGUUUUCCAGUUUCAAACUUUUGUGCUGAGAGUCUGAAAAUCCAACAAAACUGGAAGUGCACUACAUCUCAGAAGAAGAGUAUAAGCAUUUAACCGUUAACUCAUAUUAAAAAUGCACCAGAAAUCUGCUGCAAGCGUUGCAAAACUAAAAGCGAAUCUAAAAUGUAACGAUUUAGUCCUACUUUUGUCUCGGUUUCAUAUCUGUGAAGCUGCAGCAGAGACCAGACAUCAACACUUUUAUGCUGUUCAGACAUUACACCUCAGAAUGUCACUCAUGCUCAGUGACCUUUCACAUGUUGUUUGUUGUAGGCGUCGCUGGCGCCGUGCAUGUUACCUUAUUGGUGGCAUCGAUGAACUUCACUCCUUUGUAGGACACCGAGAGCACGAUGGUCGGUACCUUCUUCAUCUGUUCUGUCGACUUCUUGGAGAGCGGCAGAAACAAAAUGUAGAGACAAAAAGAAGAGAGAAGCAACGGUGACUCUUGAACUCGUGACUUUUCAAAGAGUUUAUUAUUGCUACAUGAAUCCGCCUUAAAAGGAAAGAAAAAAUAAACAGAAAGGAAGGGAAAGAUAAAAAGUCUGAUCAUCUAUUGAUUCCCUCUAUUAAAAUACAACCAUUAAUACAACCAAAUUAACUGCAUUGAUGCAGAUUCAAUAAUACUUGAAGUUACAUCAGACUCCUACAGUACAUCUCGUUUGAUUCCAUACCUAUAUGGAAGGCAUUAUGCAGUGAGGAGCUGUGAAUUUACAGAGAUUACCCACCCAGCUGUCCUCCUACCUGCCAAAAGCUUUGAUAUAUUCAAGGAUGGGAGCCAAGUCCCCUUUCUGCCUUCUCUCGUUUUCUUCCCCUCUCAGUUCUCCUAUUUAAACGUCUGUCAGCUAUCUUUUCUGUAUCUGUUUGUUUGCCUUGUUCGGUUCUUUCCUCCCUCCUGGCAUGCCGACCCUGUCAGGAUCAGCUAAUGCUGGAAAAACUGCAAAGGCAGAUGCAGAGCCAGUGAGUGAAGCUGGAAUUCAAACAUCCACAUCUGCCUCCAUUAUUGUGAAAGGAUGAAUAAAUAAAUGAGUAGAGCCAGGCGAAGGUAAAGAAAGAAGGUUCAUUAGGAAUGCUCUAGGACAAAGUGAUGAGAUAUUCACCUCACUGCACUUCAUUACAACCUCUGCGUGCUCCAAGGGUGUGUCAGGAGGAAAGAUGCCCUCUGAUGAAGCAAUAAAUACAGGGAAUGGCAGAAGCAGAGACUAGAAUGCUUCGCUCAUGAAUAUUAAAAUUGAUCUUUACUUUGCAGCGGCUCAGAAUGAGUGUGAAAAGAGCCGAGGGCCAAAGGGGAGUAGUGUUACAGUUAAAUACAGAAGGCGUGAGCAGGGAGAGAAGAAAAAGGAGAGACUUGAAAAGAUAAUGUAAUAGGAGGUAAAAGGUGGAUUGAGGAGGAUCAAGAAAACCAUAAAAACAAGUCUAAAUAAAUCCCUCAGUGCUUUUUAAUCUCCCUACAUGACACUUCAGGCUCGUCUCGAGAAAGGUUUAAGGGAACACAAAAGGUGGCGUGCGUUAGACUGAGCUUUACCCUCAUCUUGGCACAGGCGUCUUGCGUGGACUCUAUUCCUCUCAGCUCUUUCACCAGCAUGGAGCCCAGGUACUGGUAACGAGACACAAACAGGAGCUGGGGUAAAUACACACUCAAGAGGAAAAGCAUGUCCACAACAGGUUUUACUGAAACCAGCAGCACAGUCUCCUCUGUAGGAUUUACAAUAAAUCUGAGCCUACGUGUUAUUCCCCAACCAGGAUACACCUACAUUCCAUCUGCAGGUGGAGUCAUCCUGGGUGAACCUUCAGAGCCGUUUGGAUGAAGAUGAGUCUGAUCAAUACCAGUAUCGGUAAAAGUUAACCGAUACCAGGAACCGAUACCAAUGCAGUUGCUUGAAAAUGGCUUCACUGUAACUUGUCGUUUCUGUUCACGUAAUAUUUUAGUUUUGUGAUGAUUUCCAUUCAUAUAUUUUACUUUUUAUCUACCUCACAUUCUUUUCCUGUUGAAAACAGAGAAGAAAAUAAAAUCUGUAUUUCAAAUCAUAGCUUUUUUUUGUGUGGUAGAAGUAUCGGUAUUGGAAAUCGGUAUCGGCGAGUACCCAGAUCCAAGUAUCGGUAUCGUAUCGGUUAGGGAAAAAGUGGCAUUGUUGCAUCCCUACCAGAAACCUCAGAUGCUGAACGCAACGUCCUGUUGCCACUUUUUUUCCUUUUUUUUUUUUGACAGCUGCUGCACCACCACAGACUCAGGCACUUACACCAAUCAGCCAUGGCAUUAUGACCACUGAUGAAUAAACUAAGUCAUGCUUCUUAACACAUUCAUCUGAUGAGAGAAUCUGAACCAGUAGGCCUCCAAAUGUUCCUAAUAUCAGGCUGAUAGCAUCUGUAGGAUGUGAAUGCAGUCUACGAUCCAGGAGGCUCAUAAACUUUCAUACUAGCUAACUGGAAAAGGGUUUAAAAUAAAAAGUUUACACGUCUUUACGUGUUUCUGUCUUGAUGAAGGAAGCUUCCAUUAAGUUUUGCUAGAGCUUUUAUAAUAAGACACAAACACACAGGGUGGUGGUGACACCAGCCUUGAGAGGCUCCCAGAGGUCCAUUAAUGCUGCUGAUCCUUCCGUCAGGAUGUGACUUUACGAUAUCUGAUUUAAUAAAGAAGCUACUAAUGGUGCCAUUUUACAGCAGCUAUGUUGAUGUCAACAAAAGAGCACUUAAUGGAUGACACUCACCACCUCACAGUCUCUGUCCUGCCUAUGGAAGGGACCUUAGUCCCUAAAGUGGGAUCCUAACAAGGCUUUUAGCAAAUUACGCAAAAAAUGCUUUAAAAUGUUUUCGUCUCAUCUGUUUAACUCUUAACGGACAAAACAAGGACCUCAGUGUUGACCUCACAUCAUUACAUUUGGUAACAGAAACAAAUUGGAUUACAGGAUAAUUUAAUUACACGGACAGACUUUGGAUCAGUCUUGUUUUUUGUUGCCGAGUCUGGACCUUGGCGUAUCAGACAAAGCUUGUCUGGUGAUGUUAAUACUCUGCCUUGAGUGUAGCUAACAGCAUCAGAUCUAGUCAUCUUUGGUGUGCACACACAACUCUAUUAGAUUGAAGCCUCUACAGACAGGCUAAUGUCUGUAAAUCUGCCCUCGAGUUAGUCAAGAAACAGAUCCUGUAAUAUUUAGUUGAUGUCAUAUGCAGCAAAGCUGAGACGACAGGUGGAUAAGCACGGUGUUUAUGAAACUGGUUCAUCAAAAUAAGCAUCAAGUGACAUCCCACACACACACACACUCACUGAAAGCUUCAUUCUAUAGGGUGCCCUGCAGGCUACACAUUCUUAGAAGAGUACAUUUUACUUAAAUAACCUUUGAUUGAUUAAUAAAGUUUUUACAACAUAUUUGAAAAAGACUGCAGAUGCAGAUUUAUAUCAGCAGGUGGCAGAGUUGAGCUUGUAGCUGACAAAUAAGACUUAUUUAACUUAAAUAUAGUACACAGUAACAAUGUUUAACAUCAGGACUGUUUAUAAUUAAUUAAUUAUUCUGUAACUUUCAGACAUCAGUCAAAUGCAGACACUAAAUAAGCUCAAUCUCCUACUUGAUCGAUCAGUCAUGAUUAAUAAAUAAACACCACGAGGACCAUAACUUCUACAGGAGCCUGGUUGUCCAGUGCAGUGUUGUUUUCAUUAACGCCCCUUUUUCACAUAAUGAAAACGAGAUGCUGACGAGAUAAAAAUAUAGCUCUUUGGUGACUAAAACAUGACGAGACGUGCGGGAGUUUUCGCUGACGAGACGAAACGAAAAUUAUGCUCAAAAUGUAUCAUAAUUGAUAACGAAGACUUUUGUUUUACAGACAUCUUUUGCUGCCGGUGUGUUUUACCCUCAUUCUGCAAUCUUUACUUGUGCCGACUUUUAAAACACCACAGCGGCGGGGGUGUGCAUCAUUCAGAAAGCCUAAAGAUCGGAGCAUUCUUGCAAAAUGAAACAUUUUAAUAUUUGUUUUUCAUUGAUUGCAAUGAUUUAGUGAGUGUUUGGGGCUAAAAUUCAAAUGCAGAUGAGGGACACGGCCCAAAAUCAAUUUUAUUUUACCUUAGUAGUUGCAUCAAAAGUUAGAUUUAAAUACAACUGGUAUUUUUGUACAUUAGAUGCAUCUACAGAGUGAGUAGAGAGAAUAUUAUAGGCUGUUGAGGCCUGCAGGGUUUUGUGGGAGAAGAAUUUGUAAUGAUAAUGUAACUGACAUAAUAAAGUUGUUAUCUGAGGUAGAGCUGAAAGUAACAGAGAAGAUUUUGUUUAUGUAGAGCUAAAGAACAAGCUCUCAUGCAUCUUUUAGUCUCCUCUUUCUUUUACCAUUCAGCAUCUCAGUUCUCCUAAAACAAACAUACAAUAGUCCUCCCAACAUCCCCCUAGCAUCUUGUCCGUAUUCCUAUUCACUCCACGGCGCCAUCACCUCACCAGAAUCCACUCUGAGUGCUCGGCUUGCCACUCUGUCUCAUUUAACUCACUGAGCUUUCUUCAGCUCUGAAGAUGUCAUUAAAGAGGCACCACGUUUCCUCUGGCGGUCCUCCCGUCAUUCAUAUCUUCCAACAGCUCAGACAUGCUGAAGCUGAUCAUGCUGCUGCUACCAGCCUUUUCCUUUUCCCUGCCUUUAUCACACCACCUGCAGUUACAGUGAAGCAGGUAUUGUUUUACCCGUUCUGUCCAGAAGCAGAGCGGUUGUGUCAAAGUGUCUCUGACUUGGUGGAAAAGGUGGUUAUUGAGCUAAAGUGACAUAUGUGAAUUAGGAGAAACACGAUACCACUCUUACCAAUAAUGUUGUUGUUUCUCAUGAAGAAAAAACAGCAUCAAAACAAAGGUUAAGGAGGCUUGUUUAGUUCCACAGUGGACUAAUAUCAAGGUUUCGAAGCAUUAAAUGAGUUAACAAAAAUGUAAGUCUUAAAUGGCAUUAAAAAGCAUUGCAUCUGUUGUUUUAAAGUGAUAAAAAUAUAAAUGGUGGUUCACUCUUAAGUUGUGUAUUAGCAUCAACAUGUGCACCAUAUCAGCAACAGCUUCUGACCUGUCAUAAUACUGGACGUUUGAACAGAACUGGCGUACGUGGGAGCAGGAGUUUGAGGAAAGAUAAAGACAACAAAGUUUAUCUCUUAUUAAAUAUAAUAUCAACUAAGAAAGAGAACAUUUCUUAGAAGAAAUCACAAUGUAGCUGUAGAAAUACUAAUUGGUAUAUAUGUUGUGUGGGGUGCGGGCUACAUGCUGUAAAGACUCAUACUAGUCAGUGACUCGAUGCAAAUGUUUACUUUGUGAAGUGCCUUGAGAUGACUCGUCAUGAUUUGGUGCUAUAUAAUAGAUAAAGUGAAUUAAAUGGAAAAAAUUACAAAUGGGCUGGAAUUUAGGAGAUGGCUGCAACUCGUCAAUGAUCAAGGUGAUGGAUUUUGCAGUGUUUGUAUAAAGAAAAGAAAAAAAGAAUAAUGAAGUAUGGUACAAUGCUAACAUGCAGUUGCCACAAGCAGCACAACUAUCGUUGCAACACAAAGCAUCAUUGGUUCAUAUAUAGAGACGCUCUAGUGUCUAGUAUAGUGCUAUUUUGUAGGCCUGGAAUAUACUUGAUGUUUAACCUUGGGUUGGCGCAGGCUGUGUCUUUGAUCACUUGCUGCUACACCGCACUGCACCACAUGCAGUACUGGAGCUUUCCACUGGGGGCGCACUAGAAAACUCAGACCAGAUAAAGUGCCGGGUUUGUAGGUCCAACCAAAACAAACAUGGUGUCAAUAAAAGAGCUCACUUACUGGUUAGGUCAUCAUGGUGAGUGUGUCUGGCUCAUUUUGUCAGCUUCACCUACUGGUUACAUGCGUGUGGCAGCGUUAAAACUCGUCGCUUUAAUUUUGGGGGAUGCGCACAAGCAAAGCUUCAAAUCAAUGCAAGUAACGCGUGGCAGCCAUCUUAAACAUGCGCUCGCGCCGUUAAACAGCAAUGAGUGGUUUGUUGGUUUGUUUGUGUUACAAAUGGCAUUAAAAACAUUCAAUCAGAUGGGCUGAUUUCUGCAGAAACCCUGGAUCUGGGGGAAUCUUAACAACCAGAAUACUCACAUAAGCUUCGUAGUCACAGGACUGAAAGAUGAGCUUCUCCGGGUGAUGCUGCCAAUACUGCACAGGAGUGGACGAGGUCGCCUCGUUGGGUGGACGCAACGUGAUUGGCUCACACCACUCACCUGCCUGAGAGAGCAACCGUUGACGCAUCAGAAUGUUAAUAAUAGCAAGGUGUUGACGUGAUGGAUGUGUGAAUAUUUUAAAUGAAACAUUGAAUUUUACUUGGGGGAUUCUUCCAGCUGGGGCGUGCUUGUGCUUCUGAGCUCAGCCUAAAUCACUUCAUCACUUUUCAGACUCGGUGAGCCUUCACCUUUCUAACCAGAGGAUUCACCUAGACUACAUCCUUCUCAAACAUCUGCAGUUUUGCUUUGGCUUCAUUCUUUUCUAAUUGAGAUUUUUUUUUUCCUCAAAAUAUUCGCCUACCCUCUGUGUCCAUAUCUGACUGUUUUUGUUUGCCAGAGACUUGGUGAAGGAAUGUGGAAGGCAGAUGUUGGAUAAACAUCCCCAAAUUAAGUGUUCAGUCACACCGGCAGGCCAAGUUCAGGUCAAAUUCCACCGAUUUCACGUUUAGAGCUUUUAUUUAAACUUUAGCCCAAUUAAAGAAUAAAAACAGAAGCUAAGAAAAGUUCUUUGUAGAACAGAGGAAGCGCCACGGUGACUGAAAGGUAACCCGUCUGAACAACAAACAGAACAUUACAGCAGGGGUAAUGCCACAGAGAGACCCAUCCUCCCUUCUGUGAUAGUUACCCUUCUAUUCUUGCCAGGCUGACUCACCAGCGCCUGCUCAGAGUGUUGAUUUGAGAAUGGAGGAAAUUCACUCUGACACAUGCAUAUUUGGGAUUCACCAGUGUGUGUUUUUCUGCGGCGAUAAGCCCUGUGAUUCACGCCGUCACACAAAAAGACCCUAAUCAGAGUAAACCAGAACACAGCUGCACUGAUAAGUGGGUGUGGAUCUUUGUAAUGGUGCUGAUUCAAAAGUUAUAGAUCUGCAUUUUAGACGACAUCCGGAGAUAUUUAAUGUUUGUUUGAAGAUAUUGCAGGAAAAUCCUGGUUUCAUAAAUACAUCUGGAACUUUCUUAACACAUGUUUGGAAACAUGUCAGAGUGCCAGCUACGCCUAGUUUUAAAUCAACAUUUUACAGUCAUUUAAAUAUCUCUGAUUUCCUUUAUAUUUAUUAGUCCUUAAAGCUGCUUUCCGGCGUUUUCCUCUUUCAGAAAUUAUGUAUGAUUUGUCAGAAAUCUGUAAAAGUGAUUAUCUUAUCAUGUACUGUGAUGUAAUAUAAGCAAUACGUCUAUUUAUUUAUUUGCUAAGCACGCCCCCUGCCCGGCAGAGCUCCGUGCAAUAAGAAACUGAGUGCCGACCAGAACAAACCAAUAGCGUUAGACUGCCGCUUAGACCAGGGGUGUCAAACAUGCGGCCCGCGGGCCUAAUCCGGCCCGCAAGUGGGUUAAAUCCGGCCCGCGAGAUGGUUGUGUAAACUUUAUUUUCAUACUUUACAAUGUAGAGUGAAAAUAAACAUCUUUGUGAGCAAGUUUCCUCUGUAAUGAGUAUAAAUAAAACAAAGCUGCGCUCAAGGCUCACACAAGAAUUUGAAUCCCAUCCUGAAGUUGUCUGCCACUCAGGAUGUGACUUCUGAUGUUGAUGUGCUGGUGAAAGCUAAAAGAUUUUAAGUAAAAUGAGUCAAAUAUACUUUAAGUGCUGCAUGAAACUGAUCUAGCCAUGUGACCUGUAAGCUCUUUGAAUCACUAAGGAAUGUUUUUUUAAUUUGCUGAUUUUUUUUUUUCAAAUGUUCCCACACUUCAGGUGUUGUACUUGUACUACACUGUCCUCAGGCUCCAGCCUUGUUUUAUAUUGAUUGUAUUAAAACAAAGAAAACAAUCUGAAUUUUUUAUUUUAUUUACCGGUCCGGCCCACUUGGGACUAGAUUUCCCUCACUGUGGCCCCUGAGCUAAAAUGAGUUUGACACCCCUGGCUUAGACGCUUCAAAUUUAAGGAAUACCUCGGCUGAUGCAGAGUUGAUGAACUUUUCACGGACAAGUAAGUCUCAAAAGUAUAAAUAUAUGAGAACACAACAUGACAUGAGAAUAAUACUCGUAAAACGUCGUGUUUUAGCUGUUUGUCGGCUACAGAAGCACAUUUAUAAACAGAAACUUGAAGUCUCCAUCUUAAAAAAACUAAGGAACAGCGUUUUUGUGUGAUAUGCUUGUCAGCCACUAGAUGGUGCCAUUAGAUAAGAGAAAUACUCCGGAAAGAAGCUUUAAAUUCGAAUAAGUCCUUUCAUUUACAAUAACAGAUUAGACUGAUCCUAAGGGACAAACAGGAACUGAGUUUAAAAGUAAACAUGCAGAAAUGUAAUGAAAAGCUUUUCGAUAUCGUUUUUAAAGGACUUUAAAACUACUUUUAGAAGCAUUUUGUUUGAUUUUCUCUGAUCAAACCCUCAUAUCUGUGGUUAUCUACUGACUAAUUCAUCCAUGAGUUUCCCCCUUCCCUCCUCACCACGCUGACUUGAGCCAUCUGUCGCUCCAGCUUAGAUCGCGGUACAUCCUCGAAGUAGUUCUCGGUGCUGCGCUGCCUGCGCCGGGCGUCCGCCUGCAUGAUGAGGUGCUGCACGUCCAGAGAUCCGCCAGGGACCCCCGCUGUAUACGCUUGCUGGCCGACCGAAGGGCUGAGCUGGGGAGGGGUGUGGUUUCCCGCGGGCUCCUGGUGCAGCAGAUCGGUGAGGUGGAAGGAAAACAAGUGAGGCUUCGUUCAUCAUUUCAUUAUGUGCUGUGUCAUUGUGGCUCACACGCAGGGCAGCACAGAGUUAUAUGUCACAUUUUAUUUUCAGCUUCAACUCGCUGCUGGUCCUUUUGUGUGACGCCACUUAAUAACAGGUCUGUCUUCGGGUAUUUUAGUUCAAUGUUGGUGAGAUCCUCAUACAGUUGAUCAGUUUAUCAAACCUGUGAAGAGUAUAAAAUGUGCUCUUGGUUUAUUCAUUCAUAUCAUCUUUAGCUGCAAUCACAGUUGCAGGUUUAAUGUUCAUAUCAGACUCACAAUUCAGGGAGGACAUCACAUACCAAGUACGGGAUUGAGCAGAACUGAACCUAAUAUUUUAUUUUUAGGAUAAAACAGUUUUCCACUCACCGUUAAUAUUUUAUUUUAUGUCCUGAAAAAUUUUUUUUUUAAUUCCAUCACAAGUUUGUCACCGAGUUACACUAGAACAAGUUGUCCUUGGAUAAAUCCACUAAUUUGUGUUUUUCUUCUUUGAAGGGCUCGAGUCACACAUUGGUUGUUUGGACAGACCGAGAUGAGAGCAUGAGUGAAACCUCUACUGCUGCAUAGGAUUUCCUUUGGCUCAGAGUCGAUUUUUCUAUGGACAUGAGGGAGUUGUACACUGUAAAAAAUAGCGGUAUAUUUAACAGUGAUAAAUCGUAAAACCAUGACAGGAAAAAUCCAUCAGCUAGAAAAUUAUCUUAAACUGUUGAUUUUAUGUGAGGUUGCUGUAUAUAAACGAAUUGGUGAAAACAGUCUUUUUAACACUUUUUCUAUGUAAAAAAAUAUAAAACUCUACUGUAAAGCA